UCCAGAAAGUAGCCUGGACAUUUCAUUUUGGCACCCGAAUGUGGGGCACUGAAAGAAGCACACUACAUUUUGAGGCUCUGAACAUAAGGACUUACACUCAGCAGUUAAACUGACAGGAUCAUAAAUUCAGUGGAGAAGUCCCUGUGACGUGGAAAUAGGUCCCACCUCCCUGAUUCUCAUACUGCAGCUUACCUGUGCCAGCAUAGGAGAUCACAAAGAGCAUCAAAAACACCAGAUACAGGAUCUUCAUGGUGACUGGAUGGCUGGAACCUGAGAAUUAUAGGAGAAGUAAGGGGAGGCCAGAUCAGGAGAGGUAAGGGCAGAGAGAGGAAGUAAAAAUGUCAUUGAAGAGAAAAAAAGGUGUGAGAAGUGGAUCGAAUGGAUUAAGUUAUGGCCAUACAAUUAUGAGGUCAUUGAGUCAUCCACUAUCAAGAUAUCUGAAGGAUGAG
rnacentral:lncRNA from 1 species